rnacentral:rRNA from 1 species
GAUGAACGCUGGCGGCGUGCUUAACACAUGCAAGUCGAACGGAAAGGCCCAAGCUUGCUUGGGUACUCGAGUGGCGAACGGGUGAGUAACACGUGGGUGAUCUGCCCUGCACUUCGGGAUAAGCCUGGGAAACUGGGUCUAAUACCGGAUAGGACGUUGGUUUGGAUGCCAUUGUGGAAAGUUUUUUCGUUGUGGGAUGAGCUCGCGGCCUAUCAGCUUGUUGGUGGGUUAAUGGCAUACCAAGGCGUCGACGGGUCGCCGGCCUGCGAGGGUGUACGGCCACACUGGGACAGAGAGACGGCCCAGAGUCCGAGGGGGGGCAGCAGGGGGGAAGAUUGCACAAUGGGCGAAAGCCUGAUGCAGCGACGCCGCGUGGGGGAUGACGGCAUUCGGGUUGUAAACUCCUAUCGCUAGGGACGAAGCGUUUUUGUGACGGUACCUGGAGAAGAAGCACCGGCUAACUACGUG